AAUUAUAAAAGAAAAAUAUUUUAAAUACUAAAAAUAUUGUGAAUGUUUUGGAAUUACUAAAAGUUAUAAAAAAAUAGUGUUUUUUUCUUAUUAAAAAAAUUUUUUAAAUUUUAAAUAAAAAUAUCUUCGACAAUUCUAUGAAUCUGAGGUCACACACCGAGACAUAACAAAAUAAAUAAUCGUAAAACUUUAAGCCUGCAUGCCGCCAUAACAGUCCAUAAACAACUUUGUUUAAAGACGACAUAAACCAACAAUUAACAAAGAUGUUGCUUCCACAACUUACUUCCACAACAUAAUUGCUGCAAUGCAUACAAAUCUUUAACAGAGAAACAAACGCGUUUGCGUUCAAAUUACAAAGAAAACUAUUACUAAUAAUAAGAAAUUUAUGUUUCCAACACACAUUAAUUAUUAAAACAUAAAAACAUAAAUAUACUUAAUAAUUGCCACAAACUCUUGAGAAAGAGCUAUAUGAACGCAUGACGCUGUAAGCCAUGAUGUUUUAAAGAACAUGCGUAACCCUGUGACAUACAUUUCGAAAAGAGAGAAAAUCAACAACAGCAACAUCAUCAUCAAUCGUCGAUAAUUAUAUGAUUUAUUUGUUUAUCUAUAAUCAUUUGGACGCAUUUAUUCAGGCAAUUUAUACAUUCAUUCAUAACAUUAAUCACCAGCUUGUUGAGUAAAACCAUCACCAACAACCGGCGCAUGCUCACACGCUAACACGCACAAAGCAACGUGCCCACGAACCUACAAAGAAAGAAAGAAUCCAAAACAUUUUUCAAACCCUCAUAAAACGUUUCCCCAUCAAGCAGUCGGUCAGUAAUUCAUUCAGUCAAUUGGUUGUUUGGUUGACUCAUCAAUAUGACUCUGAUUAGUUGCUUUAAUAUUCUAACGAGUUUAGCUAUUUUAAUAGUCAUUCUACCAUCUCAGUUGGAAGCUUAUUAUA